AAGAACCUAAAUCAGUUUUAUGAACAAAAUCAGUUAUCUUAUGGUCAUUGUCCAUAACCACACUGGAGGAUUCAAUAAAUGCUCCACCAACUCCAUCAGAUGUACCAGAUCCAUCAGAAUCUGUGACCCUAACAGGAUCAGAUUGUGAAGCUUGCUCCUCUCGUAGACUUGCACCAGCAGGAUGUAGUUGGCUACUUGAUGUAGUUUUUU
rnacentral:lncRNA from 1 species